rnacentral:rRNA from 1 species
GAGUUUGAUCCUGGCUCAGAACGAACGCUGGCGGCAUGCCUAACACAUGCAAGUCGAACGGGAUCCGGACUUCGGUCCGGUGAGAGUGGCGGACGGGUGAGUAACGCGUGGGAACCUGCCCAAUGGUCUGGGAUAACCGCGGGAAACUGCGGCUAAUACCGGAUAAGCCCGAGAGGGGAAAGAUUUAUCGCCGAUGGAGGGGCCCGCGUCCGAUUAGGUAGUUGGUGAGGUAACGGCUCACCAAGCCGACGAUCGGUAGCUGGUCUGAGAGGAUGAUCAGCCACACUGGGACUGAGAUACGGCCUAGACUCCUACGGGAGGCAGCAGUGGGGAAUAUUGGACAAUGGGGC